UAAGAGGAGGAGGAGAAGGAAGAGGUGAAGUAGGACAGGGGAGAAGGAGAGGACGGGGAAGAGGAAUGGGAGUCAGGAACACAAUAAGUGAUGAAGUCACAGUGACUGUGGUUGACCAUGUUGCCGACUGUGGUUGACCAUGUUGCCAACCAUGGGAUGAGCAUGAUGGAGGCUGGGCAACGAGUUCAACCAAAUCUGAGCCGCUAUACUGUUGCAGGUAUAAUCCAGAUGUUUCAAAGUGAGAACCGAACUGCAAGAAAACCAGUAUCUGAUGGAAGAGGUCGACUGUUCACCCCAGAGCAGGAGACCCACGUUUUAAAUAUGGUAAUUUCAAAUAACUGCAUCAGAGAAGUGCAGGACCACAUAAUGGCAGAUAACACCAUAUUCCUAAACGUCAACAGAGUGAGUCUCUCUGCACUGUCUCGUCUACUGAAACAGAGUGAGUCUCUCUGCACUGUCUCGUCUACUGAAACAGAGUGAGUCUCUCUGCACUGUCUCGUCUACUGAAACGCAAUAGAAUUAGGAUGAAGCAGCUUUACAGAGUCCUUUUCGAGAGAAACUCAGUACGUGUAAAACAACUAAGAUAUGAACAUGUGCAGGUAAGCUGUACUAUCCUAUCAUUGGUACUGGAUCUGGAAGUGUUUGGUGCUACUUCAUAUUGACUGAUCCCUGUCUUUUCCUACUGUGCUACGUUGUUUUGUCUUGUCUCUUUCAGAGAGUAAUGGAGCUAGAAGCAGAUGCAAUGCACCAUGACCUAAUAAAUGUGGACGAGGCAGGUUUCAACCCUGCAAAAUCAAGGGGCCGCGGCAGAAAUAUCCUGACCCCUGAUCGAUGGACACCGUGCCAUCAUUAACGUCCCGGGACGACGUGGUGGCAACAUAACAAUGUGUGCGGCUGUUAGUCAAAACGGCGUCAUUCACCAUCAUGUACAUCUAGGCCCAUACAGCCACUGCACACAUUAUCACAUUUCAGGACACCCUCCACAACAGACUAAUCCCUAAUGACCAGGGACGAGAGCAGCCCAGGUACAUUAUCACAUUUCAGGACACCCUCCACAACAGACUAAUCCCUAAUGACCAGGGGCCAGAGCAGACCAGGUACAUUAUCACAUUUCAGGCCACCCUCCACAACAGACUAAUCCCUAAUGACCAGGGGCCCGAGCAGCCCAGGUACAUUAUCACAUUUCUGGGCACCCUCCACAACAGACUAAUCCCUAAUGACCAGGGGCCCGAGCAGACCAGGUACGUUAUCAUCUGGGACAAUGUUAGUUUCCACCGGGUUGUUGUGGUCUGUUGGAUCACAGGUCACCCACUUCUCAUCUCUACCCCCAUACUCUCCAUUCUUGGGUUCUAUUGAAUAAUUAUUCUCUGUUGGAAGGUGUAUGAUCGCCAGCCCCACCAACGCAUACCCCUUACCCCCUUCUACAGGCAAUGGAGGAGGCUUGUGGAGACAUCGAUCAGGGGUCAUUGCCAGGCCUGGAUACGGCACUCCGGGCGAUACUUUCCACGCUGCCUAGCUCAAGACAACAUCGCAUGUGAAGUGGAUGAAGUCUUAUGGCCAGACCCACAAAGACGAUGAGAUGAAGCCACAUUUUAUUUAUUUUUUUCCUACUGCACUUUUGUUGUUCGAGGAGUGUUUGAACAUUUUGAGAAUAACUUUUCCCCCCUUAUUUGUAUUGAUAGUGUAUUAUGUUCGGAGUACACAUCCAUACUUUACACAUUUGAAUACCUGUGUGUAUGUGAGUUGACUAUCCUUUAUCACUAUACUGUAUUGCAAACUGCUAUGCCCUGCACACAGGACAAACCCACAAGUGUUUUUCAUUUAUACUAUCAGUGCCUAGUUGUUGCUUAUUCAAAUUAUGGUUUGUGUGUACUGUAUUGACUCCAAAAAAAUUAUGUUUUAAGAGUUUGAA